rnacentral:rRNA from 1 species
UACGGAGGGUGCAAGCGUUAUCCGGAUUUACUGGGUUUAAAGGGUGCGUAGGCGGGCAGGUAAGUCAGUGGUGAAAUCCCCGAGCUUAACUCGGGAACUGCCGUUGAUACUAUCUGUCUUGAAUAUAGUGGAGGUAAGCGGAAUAUGUCAUGUAGCGGUGAAAUGCUUAGAUAUGACAUAGAACACCAAUUGCGAAGGCAGCUUGCUACACUAUUAUUGACGCUGAGGCACGAAAGCGUGGGGAGCGAACAGG